UACAGAGGGUGCAAGCGUUAAUCGGAAUUACUGGGCGUAAAGCGUGCGCAGACGGUUGCGUAAGUCAGAUGUGAAAGCCCCGGGCUCAACCUGGGAAUUGCAUUUGAGACUGCAUAGCUAGGGUGCGGAAGAGGGAAGCGGAAUUUCCGGUGUAGCGGUGAAAUGCGUAGAUAUCGGAAGGAACACCAGUGGCGAAAGCGGCUUCCUGGUCCAGCACCGACGUUCAGGCACGAAAGCGUGGGGAGCGAACCGG
rnacentral:rRNA from 1 species